AUUGAACGCUGGCGGCAUGCCUUACACAUGCAAGUCGAACGGCAGCACGGGUGCUUGCACCUGGUGGCGAGUGGCGAACGGGUGAGUAAUAUAUCGGAACGUACCUUAUCGUGGGGAUAACGCAGCGAAAGCUGCGCUAAUACCGCAUACGCCCUGAGGGGGAAAGCGGGGGACCGUAAGGCCUCGCGCGAUUAGAGCGGCCGAUAUCUGAUUAGCUUGUUGGUGGGGUAAAAGCCCACCAAGGCGGCGAUCAGUAGCUGGUCUGAGAGGACGAUCAGCCACACUGGGACUGAGACACGGCCCAGACUCCUACGGGAGGCAGCAGUGGGGAAUUUUGGACAAUGGGCGAAAGCCUGAUCCAGCCAUGCCGCGUGAGUGAAGAAGGCCUUCGGGUUGUAAAGCUCUUUCGGCUGGGAAGAAAUCGCACAGGCUAAUACUCUGUGUGGAUGACGGUACCAGCACAAGAAGCACCGGCUAACUACGUG
rnacentral:rRNA from 1 species